rnacentral:lncRNA from 1 species
AUCAUACAUUUUAGUCAAAAUUGGAAUGAUACAAAUUUGAAUCAUGUACUACGUGUGUGUAAUUGUGGUCUGCCUAAAUGUGAUUUGGCACCGAUCCCAGUUCAUUCGCUGAGUUUAUGCGCAUCAAGCCAUCAACUAGUGGGUAAAAAGUAAUAUAUAGACAGACAUAAGUUCGACCUGAGUGGAGGGCUUGUAGCGCCAGAGAGCAAGACGCCAAUUGGAGCUGGGAACAUGCACGAAGUGAAGUUCAUCGGCGGUGCAAAUGGCGGGCUUCUCAGCGGCUCUCGUUCCGAUCACUGCUUUCAUGCGGAUUCCGGGACGGGUCGGAUUGAGGUCUCGGACUACGGAUGCAAUUUGGAUCGCAACCCUGGUCUGGAAAUCUGACAGAGGUAAAACGAAAACCAUUUUUUAUAUCAAUUACUCCUAUUUUUCGUUGAUCAAUAUUGCAAUUGGAAAGUGUGUGCAGAAAUUUGCGGAAUUUGUGUCCUUUAAUCUUCCGAAUUGGGCUAUGUUACUUUGCAGAAAUAUGUGGGGAUUUGUUUCCUUUAUCCUCCAAAUUGGACUAUGUUACUUUGCAGAAAUUUGUGGGAAUGAGUUUCGUUUGUCUUCUUAUGAUGGGGUGUUCAACUUCCCCGCCAUGUGUGAUUUGAUUGCUUCAAAAGAGGUGAGAUUAUCUUUACGUGGAAGACUAGAAUGGCAUGGCCACACGCUAAUCAAAACGAUAAUUGCAGGCAUCUCACUAUACAAUCCAUGUAAUCACACCCGAUAGAUUUAAUUAAAUAAAUAAUAUGAGAUUGUAUUUAAGUGUAUUUAUCAUUU